rnacentral:rRNA from 1 species
UACGUAGGCAGCGAGCGUUGUUCGGAAUUACUGGCGUAAAGAGUGUGUAGGCGGUGCUCUAAGUUCGGUGUGAAAUCUCCUGGCUCAACUGGGAGGGUGCGCCGGAAACUGGAGUGCUUGAGCGUGGGAGAGGAAAGCGGAAUUCCUGGUGUAGCGGUGAAAUGCGUAGAUAUCAGGAGGAACACCUGUGGUGUAGACGGCUUUCUGGACCAUAGCUGACGCUGAGACACGAAAGCGUGGGUAGCAAACAGG